rnacentral:rRNA from 1 species
AACGAACGCUGGCGGCGUGCUUAACACAUGCAAGUCGAACGCGAAAGGGGCUUCGGUCCUGAGUAGAGUGGCGCACGGGUGAGUAACGCGUAGAUAACCUGUCCUGGUGUCUGGAAUAACGUCUCGAAAGGGGCACUAAUACCGGAUAUUCUUGCUUUCUUCAAGGUAUGCAAGGAAAGGUGGCCUCUGGAACAAGCUACUGCACGAGGAGGGGUCUGCGUACCAUUAGCUAGUAGGUGGGGUAAUGGCCUACCUAGGCGACGAUGGUUAGCGGGUCUGAGAGGAUGAUCCGCCACACUGGCACUGGAAUACGGGCCAGACUCCUACGGGAGGCAGCAGUGAGGAAUAUUGCGCAAUGGGGGCAACCCUGACGCAGCGACGCCGCGUGAGUGAGGAAGGCCUUCGGGUCGUAAAGCUCUGUCAAGAGGGAAGAAGUGCAUGGUGGUUAAUAUCUGUCAUGUUUGACGGUACCUCUAAAGGAAGCACCGGCUAACUCCGUGCCAGCCGCCGCCGUAAGAC